UCCUGAAAAGUUUCUUCAAAGAAACUCUCAAACUGCAACUGGUGCAGCUUUGCAGAGUGAAGCUCUCGCUGUACUUCAAAGCAGAGAAAAUCUUCAGCUGCCUGGAGCCCGCUUGUCCCAGGAGGUGUCACUGUUGGGACUUGAAGGGUGUGCUCAGCUCUGCUGUUUAUUUUUUAAAGGCUACAUUGACCAUGAGGUAGGAAUUGACCUGUAUUACAUCUCUUCCCUGCCCCCCGCCCUUCUGGAGAAAGAUAAUCAGAGUUCUUUAGAUUUAUGCAGUAGACAUGUUUGUCAAAGUAUUUGGCACCAGUGACAUCAUCUUUGUUGAAAUGCUGGACAGCAUGAUGAGACCCAGAUGUUACUCACCGAAAGUUGAAAAAGAAUAAAAUAUAAAGAGCAACUGUAACAGCUAUGGAGGACUCUACUCGGUUUAUAUUCUGAUGUUGAUACAUGAAGAAUAUGAUGAUUUGUCAAGGACUCCUAAAGCUGUUAAAACUU